UCCUGACAAAAAGGAUUAACAUGUGAAUACCAUGAUUGCAUGAGGGAGAUAUAUCAUGAAAUCUUGUUUAGUAAUGAAUUGCUUAUUAUAAUGGAAGAUGGGCAAUGAAUGGUAAAAGCAGAUUCUUUCAAGUACCUUGAGAGACCAUUCCUCAAAACCAUGCCAGGGAUUGUUUUCGAGGUUCCUAUCUGCAAUAUACUGGAGGGAAAGAAAUGGUGUUAUGAAACAAUAUGAAUGGAUAAAGAUAAUAGAUAUUGCAUGUAGAGAAAUCGAGAAGCAAUACUUACACUGUGGAGAGUCUCGCCAGGAAGGCCAUUCAGGGAGGGGAAGGCUUCUCUAUCGAUAGAAAGUACUAUACUUGCAGCCUGCAUCUCUAACCAUUUAAUGUGAGGAACAAACUAGCUACUCACAAGAUCUGGAUCAAACAGAAGAAGUGCAUAAAAUGGAUGAAAACUAAACUUAUACCUGUGUGGCAUUCCUUACUUUCUUCUGUGACAUGUUCAGGGACUCGGCAAGUUUCUGAAAAGGAGAGAAGUUAGUCCCUUGUAAAAGAAUUCUACACAAUGUCUUGGGGGUUGAAGAGAGAGAGAUCAUUGUCAUGCUCAAGACCAUGAAGAAGAUAAGCUAGUUACGACCAGUGUUAUUGAAGCUUGAUAAAUCAGAACAGCCAAAAUGAUGAUGAAAUGACAAAAGAACUGGAAUAGCAUGAAAGGUUAUCUUGAUUAAUUUUGACCUCAAAAAUGCCCAGAAACAAGAUGUUGCAGUAAAACACGGCAUGAAAGUAAAAAGGGAAAACCAUUGAGCAGUAUGAUAAAGUUUAACUCACGUCAAUUGAUGGUGCAAUUCCCUUCUCUUCCAGUCUGAUCUUUGCAUGCCUAAUUGAACCGAGUCUUUCAUGUAAAUGAGCAGGCAGUCUUAAAGUCCUGGAGUUCUUGAACAAUGUUCUUGUGACACCCUGGUAAGAAGAAAGAUUUCUUCACUGUAGUCUGGAAUCAAAUUGAUGUUCAACAAUAGACUAAACAAUUGGACCAAAUAAGCAUGUAUAAUACUGCUGAAAUAGGAUCUUCCAUGAUAUAAGGCUCAGAGUUUGAAGGAUACUGAAGAGUACAUGUCUAAAAUCUUGUAAGGAGGAAGCACCAUGUCAUGAAGCAAAGCUUGAGCUAUGAAUUUAUUGUUUGCCUUGUUAUCAUUUCUGCUCGUGUGUAUACAAAUUCAGCUAACCUCCAUGAUCAUUCAUGUGUUGAACUGUAAAAUAUUACAGCUAAACAACUCACCUGCCGGAUCCACCAAUACACAUAAGUAGAAAUUUUGAAGCCCUUGGAAGCAUCAAACUUUUCUAUCCCACGAAGAAGCCCAAUCAAGCCACCCUGUGACACACGCAAUUAGUUUGGCAGUAGAAAGACUUGUAUGCCGGUGUGACGACAUGUAAAUCCAGGACUACUGUAAAGCCAGUAGAAUGGAGGUUUACCUGGAUAAGGUCGGCCAUUGCAGUCCCCAUGUUAUCAUACUUUUGGGCAAUAGACAUCACCAGACGGACAUUGCUCAUCGCAAGCUUCUCCCUUGCCAGAGAACACUCGAUCAUUUUUGUGUGCAGUUCAGCACGCAACAUCCUCAGUGAAGAAGCCAGUUGCUUGUCGGUUGGCUCAUAUCCCAUUUUUUCCUUCAGUCUGAAACCAAAGUAGUUCAGUCAUACAAUAAUCGGAAGAGGAGGAAGCAACAGCAAGAAAAUGACAAUAACAUGUGGUGUCAUCUACAUGAUUUAGAAAGCCAAAUUGAAGUUGAUUGUCUUAGAAAUGGUAAGCUGUGACCUUGUUGUAAAAGAGAGAACUUCAAUUAUAUAGAACAGGUUUCUUAGAGAGAAAAGUUGUCUUAGUUAGCAAGAGGAGGAACGAAGAAACAAAACUCGUUCCAUAGAUAGACUAAGGCUAUGCAGCUGUUCGCUUGUUCAACCUCAUCAAAUGAAUAUGUUCUGUACUUAUAAAGGAACAACCUCUCCUAAGCUCCAAAUACAGGCUAAAGGCACACAUGAUUGGUUCAACUAGUGCUAUUGAACAUGAGCACAAUGGUAAUUGCACUAGAUAAACAGAUCAUUGCUUCAUUUCUUGUUUGAUUAACUAAAAUAAAGCUAUAAACAAUGAUGUAAUUUGCAAAGUUCUUAGUCUUUCUCGAUGCUCAAACAAACAUAAAAUAUGAGAUGUUAAUCAACAAUUUUUCAUGAGAAAAAACUACCUACUUUGACCUGACCUGUGCUCCUCUAUAUAUAAAUGAAUGGCUUCUACAGUUAUAAAAGAACAAUCUCUUUUAGGACAUUAUGUGCUAAUAAUGCUCCAAAAAUAGGCAAAAAAAGCACUCGGUGGAGCUCACAAGUUUAACAAGAACAACUAUUGGACGAGCACAAUGGCAAUUGCACAAGAUAGACAGGUCAUUGGUAGAUUUCUUGUUUGGUCAAGUAGAAUAGAGCUAAAAUGAGGAUGUAAUUUGCUGAGUUCUUCCUCAGUCCCUAAUGUUCGAACAAACAUAAAACAUAAGAUGGUAAAUAACAACUUGAAUGAGAAAGAAUUACUUACCUUGACCUGUGUUCCUCUACACGCAUACCAGCUCUUAUUUUCUUCGACAGAUUCACGACCUCUGCAUGUGUAAGCAAGCUCUCACUGACGGUUCCUCUGACAUAACCACUAGCAUCGGAGUUAAGCAGCUCAGGGCUAACACAAGAUCGAAGCUGUCUCACUCUGCUUGCAGGUGCCAUGGCAUCCCUAUGACCAAUACAUUUCCUUCUCGAAAUCAUUCUCCUCUCACGAGCAGAUAUCCCGGAGCGAGCGAUUUCGGGCACCCGGCAGCCGUUUCCAGGAGCAGCAACAGUUGUCAUCUGCGUGAACGGGAGUUCCCAUUGCUUCUCCAACAUAGACUUCUGUAGCAAGAUGAGGGCCUCCAGAGAGGAUUCGAGAUCACUAGGUGAAGGGGCCAAGGUAUGGACAUGCUCUUUCAGUGCCUUGAUGAUCGGUACGUGUCUGGUCGGUGGGGCAUUCGGCCUGAAUGGGGAGGGCUUUUGUGCAACUACGACGGACUUCGUGGAGGCCGCUGGAAAUGGCAGCGUAGUUUGAUCCAGAAUGGGGAAUAACUUCUCGGCGAGGUCGGUGGGACAGAAUGAAGAGGUCAGAAGCCUCUUUCCCGUGCUUAAUCCAACGACUGCUGAUGUUGCCAUCAUCCAGCUUGAACUGCAGAUUGAUCACAGAAACAUCAAGAACGAGCCGUUUUCCACGCAAUUACCAACACGUACGACCUAAAAGGGCGGAAGAAAGCAGACGGACGGAACGAUCCGCACGAAAUACCAAAUCCAAUCGGCAUCCGAUCUCUAUAGGAGAGGGGGAUUGAGAAGGAAGAGGACGCACCAGAGCGUGACGAUCGCGGAGACGAGCGGUGAGAACUGAGCGAGAGGGGAGAAGCUGCUGCCGACGUGGUGGUUACUCCGUCUCUCUUCCUCCGGUAUAAUGUGUGUGCGUGAGCAAGGCAGGAGAUAUGGGAGGGAGAGGCGCCAUUGGUUGCAGGAGAUAUUUGGCGCGCGGCUCGUGGUUCUUGUGGCUCCAUGUGGGCGCCAACCCGACGACCCCAAGCCAAAGCUAAUGCUUGCGCCGUCGCUCUUGAUUGAGCUCGAAUCCGGUUUGGUUCGAUCAAGAUAGAUCUAAUUCGAGUCCAAUCUGCACUCCAGCAGAGUCCUGAUCUAAUUGGAUCCAUCUGAAACCCAAACAGCAUGUUAUGUUGUAUACGUAGUAUAGUCAUUUAUGUGCUACAACUUUGAUA